AUUUUUUUGUUUAGCUGGGGUAUUGCCAUGUUGUCCAAGGUAUUCUCAAACUCCUAGGCUCAAGUGAUCCUCCUGCCUCAGCCUCCCAAAGUGUUGGGACUACAGGCAUGAGCCACCGUGC